rnacentral:rRNA from 1 species
GACAGAGGGUGCAAACGUUGUUCGGAGUUACUGGGCGUAAAGGGUGCGUAGGCGGUUGUUUAAGUUUGGUGUGAAAUCUCCCGGCUCAACUGGGAGGGUGCGCCGAAUACUGAAUGACUAGAGUGCGGGAGAGGAGAGUGGAAUUCCUGGUGUAGCGGUGAAAUGCGUAGAUAUCAGGAGGAACACCGGUGGUGUAGACGGCUCUCUGGACCGUAACUGACGCUGAGGCACGAAAGCGUGGGUAGCAAACAGG